rnacentral:tRNA from 1 species
GGGCGUUUAGCUCAGCUGGUAGAGCAAGUGACUUUUAAUCACUGGGUCACAGGUUCGAGUCCUGUAACGCCCACCA